AGGCACAUAAAUAGUUUACAGCUGGAUUUGUUUUGAAUGGAGUAAAAAUUGUUAAUGAUUCCCUGAUUUCCAUAUUAUUGUUGGAAAGGUGAAGCAUUUCCAAAAAUCUAAUGCUAAACGACUAAAUGCUUGGGUGGGGUGAUAGCCAGUUCUGAUGACAUAGCAAAUGCACAUUGUAUGCGUAUGGCCGGUAAUAGUGAAGUCUGCAGCCAUAUUGCAGACAUCCUAUUUUUAGCUGAGUAUGCCCAGGGCAAGACAGACGAAGAAGAACCCAAUGCAUGUACAUAUGUUACAGCUACAUGGUUUGGAGAUAGCAACAUGUGCAUUCUCUGAUGAAAAACUAAUGAGUUUUGAAACUGUUCGGUCAGAGUGCUUGUUGCGCUCACUAAACGAACUGAAAUAUAAGAUGGCUUUGGCAUUGUGUUGCAGCGAUAUGAAAAUGGUUAUUCAUUUUUAAUUAUAAUGUACUUCUUCAUCAUGAGUAAUUAUGUAUUGGUCUUUUAAAUGUGUAUUUAUUUUUGUAAUUAGUAUCAACUUGUAAUGAUAAUAUACAUUUAUCGUUUAAGGUAUGACUAUGUUUUGACUCUAAAAUAAAUGUUUUAAAAAUCGAA